rnacentral:lncRNA from 1 species
UUUUUGGGUAUUUUUCCUAUAUUUUCAAGAUUUGGUAUUUUUUUCUAUUGAAGAUAUUUAUUUUCUUCUUACAUUAUGUAGUUUAAUGGAAGGUAUGUUUUCUUUUUCAACUUAGCUUCAACUUCAGUACAGUUUGUGGGAAUUUGUUCUCUUCGUCGGCUGGGUUUCAAGCUCCGACUCUUUCCGUGUGAACGUGACUUCUUGAAAGUCUCAUAUCUAACUCUGAGCACAAACAAAGAGGAACUAGAUAGGUAAAAUUAAGUAAACAGGAGAAAAUUAUUUUUACAAAUUUAUAAAUUUUGAAACGGAAUAAGACGUGCUAGGUUUUAUUUGAGUACUUCGUUUGAAGUUCCAAUGCAUUGAAAUUUUCCAGAUUAUUCUUUCUGGGUUUGGUUAAAGGUGGGGAUUGACAGUGACCUCAUCAUUUGCUUUCUCUGCAUUUCGCUUAGUUUGAUUUGAAAUUACUAGAAACUGAGUUUGUUCAUUACGAUAUUGUAAUUUUGAAAUGUUGAAUCGGAAUUUGACUUUCAAAAUUUGAACAUGAACAAAAUGAUUAAGGAUUGCAUAUUUUAUCGAAAAAUUCUUUUAUUGCACUGAAACAUCAUUUUAGACACAUUGUUUAUUGAGGAGCUAAUUAUGUUUUUCUCUUAAAAGUAGUUGCAAGGUGUUAUGGAAGAAAAUAUUCAUUCCCAAAGUUUUGGGCAAUCUGUUGGAUCAUCUAGAAGAAAUAGAUUUUUUUUUUGUUGAUCAAGACAUUAGCUGCAUUCCAACCCCUUCUGUUGGUGAGUAUCUAUAGUUUAUUGAUUUCAUUGAUUCAUUUGUAAUUUUUUUUUUUUUUUGUUUUAUCUUGCCUUUUGGGUAUAUUAUAUUAGUUAUAAAUCUUAUUAUUGUGAUUCGAGCUUUUAUUUUAAUUCCUAAUAAUUAGUCUUGUUUUGGAUGUAAAGGUUCAGAGAGUUCAAUGGAGAUUGAAUUUGGUAGUAAGCGAGCACAAAAUAUUAAUAAUUAUUUAACGGAAACUUCAUGUGAUGAACAACAUAGAGAAAAAAGAGUUAAAACUGGAAAAGAAUCUGGUGAGAAUCAUGCUAUAAUAUUUCAUUCUAUUUCUCUUUCUUUUGUUUUUUUUGUUAUGGUAAAAUUGGUUGAAAAAAUGUAAUAUUUAUAUAUAUUUAAAUGUUAAAUAUUUGAGAUUUUCUUUUUCUUUAUUAGGGUGUGCGGAUAUGCGGCAGUAUGAUGAUGGUCUUUUCUCAAAACCUUAUGUGCACUGUGGAGCCGUGAAAUUUUUAGGGAAACCAAGGGAUUUUGUUGUUUAAAUGUACAAAUUCUAUUAAAAAAAUGAUGUGCCAGUAGAAUUAUAUACGUUGUUUACUUCGAAUUCUGAAGAAUCUUUAAACUUUAGAAAAAUGGUGCGAAGCUAUAAUUGCAAUUUCUCUAUGACAUCGUUUGGUGUGAUUAUGAUAAAAAUUUAUGCGCAAAGUAGAAUGGUAUUUAUACUUUUAGAAUUCAAGGUCAAAUAUACAAUUUUAUAAAUGAAAUUAUUCCAAAAAACAAUCGUCCUUCUCAUUUACAACUUUACUUUUUCGAUACCGAUAAUGAAGUGCAAAAUAGGUUAAAUCUUAGUGAAUGGUUAAUUGAAUCUCUUGUUAUUAAAUUGAUGAAGAUUUUAGAGAAUAAUCUUUACAUAGUUUUUAUCCGAAGUUUGGGAACUAUUCCUGAUUUGGAAAAUCAUUAUAUUCGACUUCGAUGUCAUCCAACUUGUGAUCAAAGAACAUCUAAUGCACCCAAUGAUUCACAAGUUGCUGCUAUUUGGGUUGAUCAUGAUGAUUAUGAUGAUGUUCGUUUGCGUGAUAUUGUAGUUCAUUGCAAAGAUGGAAAUUACAAUAGAAUACAAUAUUAUUAUGGAUGUUAUGACCCACUUCGGGACCCAUUUUUAUUUCCUUACGGUGAAACAGGUUGGCACCAAGGUAUUCAAUGAAUUAAUACAGACAAAAAGAAACCAAACAUUUGCAGAAAUGAAGACAUUGUUGAUGCGAUUAAUUUUUCCUUGCCUUAGGAAUUAAUUGAGAAAGAAACAUCAGGUUAGUUUUUUUUGCCUACCAUUUCUACUUUAAAUUAUUUGUUUGUAAAUAUUUAUGUGAUUUGUUAUGUAUUUUCUUAUUAUUGUCUGAAGUAUUAACUUUUUUAUUUAGUGAUGGAAAAUAAGAAAGUUAGGAUGCAAGUGUCAUGCCGGGAAUAUUACUGUUAUAAACUACAAAUAAGAUUAUCAACAAAUUCAAUAUUAUUGCAUUUUGGAAGACCAUUAUAACAAUACAUUGUUGACAUGUAUGUAAAAAUUGAAACAUCUAGAUUAGAUUACUUUAGACACAAUCAAAGUGUUCUACGAGCUGAAUUGUAUCAAGGAAUUGUAGAUAGGCUUGAAAUUGGUGAAAAAAGAGGUAAUAAAAUUGGUCGUUUGAUUGUUUUGCCUCGAUCUUUUAUUGGUGGUCCUAGAGAUUUAAGGAAACGUUAUAUGGAUGCUAUGUCUUUAGUCCAAAGAUUUGGUAAACUUGAUAUUUUUUUAACAAUUACUUCUAAUUCAAAUUGGCCAGAAAUUAAGGAACAAUUGAAGUAUAAUGAUGAAUCUCAAAAUAGGUAUGAUAUAAUAGCUCGUAUUUUUAGAGCAAAACUUAAACAAUUAUAGGAAGGUAUUUUGAAAAAGAGAAUAUUUGGAUGGG